GAUGAACGCUGGCGGCGUGCCUAACACAUGCAAGUCGAACGGAAAGACGAUAGUGUUUUGCCUUUCUGGAGUGAGCGGCGGGUGGGUGAGACGUAUGUAUCUGACCCUUCUCUUUGGGUGGGGUUAACGUAGGGAAGCGUAAUACAAUACGGAAUAUCCUUCGCCGGGGAUGGAGUAGGAGAGUUGGACCGUUCUGGUGUCAAUUAGAGGCGGACCCGCUGUGUAUUAGGUGGUUGGCGGGGUAACGGUCCAACGGGGCGGCGAUUUGUAGGCGAGCUGGGAGGGUGAUCGGCCACACUAGAAGUGGGACACGGCCCAGACUCCUACGGGAGGCAGCAGUAGGGAAUGGUAGGCAAUGGUCGGAAGUCUGACGCAGCAGUGCCGCGUGAGUGAAGAAGGCGUUCGGUGCGUAAAGCCCGGUUGUGGGGUAAGAACAGCUACAGUAGUAGCCGAAGCUAUCGUGACGGUACCUUACCAAGAAGCACCGGCUAACUACGUG
rnacentral:rRNA from 1 species